rnacentral:rRNA from 1 species
UACGAAGGUCCCAAGCGUUAUCCGGAUUUAUUGGGUUUAAAGGGUGCGUAGGCGGGUUGUUAAGUCAGUGGUGAAAGCUCCGAGCCUAACUCGGAAAUUGCCAUUGAUACUGACGAUCUUGAGUACAUUUGAGGAGGGCGGAAUGUGUCAUGUAGCGGUGAAAUGCUUAGAUAUGACACAGAACACCGAUUGCGUAGGCAGCUCUCUAAACUGUAACUGACGCUGAGGCACGAAAGCGUGGGGAGCAAACAGG